GAUUUGGCAGGGUCAUAGGACAAUAGUGGAGGGAAGGUCAGCAGAUAAACAAGUGAACAAAGGUCUCUGGUUUUCCUAGGCAGAGGACCCUGCGGCCUUCCGCAGUGUUUGUGUCCCUGGGUACUUGAGAUUAGGGAGUGGUGAUGACUCUUAAGGAGCAUGCUGCCUUCAAGCAUCUGUUUAACAAAGCACAUCUUGCACUGCCCUUAAUCCAUUUAACCCUGAGUGGACACAGCACAUGUUUCAGAGAGCACAGGGUUGGGGGUAAGGUCACAGAUCAACAGGAU
rnacentral:lncRNA from 1 species